rnacentral:lncRNA from 1 species
ACUCCCGUUCGUCUGUCUAUUACAUUCCCAGUGAUUUAGGACUUGGAACGGAGAGCUAGUAGGUGGGGCUAGAAUCGGCACCUGCGGAAAAUCCGACCAAUGAGGAGCGAACGACACAGCGGCCAUCUUGGUAAAGGAAAAGGAACAAGGAAGAAAGUGGAACCAAUUAGCAAGCUAAGGUUUGCUUUUAAAAUUAUUUUGAUUUGGGGUAGUCCCUCAUCACACUCACAAUACUCCUGCAUUUAAGGAGGGAUUGCUGAUCCCAGCACAACUGCAGACUUAGCUAAACUAACCAGGAUUUAUAAAUUGGGGGACAGAAAGUCUUUCGAAUGUAUUUUUUAGCUUGUAUUACAUUCUACACAAAAAUUGGUAGUCUUAGAUAUUAGGCAAUAUCUAAGACUAAUUUUAUUGCUUAGAAAAGAACAUAAGUCUAACUUUUUUUUUUUUUAAGACAGGGUCUUGCGGUGUCACCCAGGCUGUCACAGGAGUGCAGUGGUGUGAUCAUAGCUCACUGUGGUCUCCAACUUCAGGGCUCAAGCGAUCUUCUUGCCUCUGCCUCCCAAAGUACUGGGAUUACUGGCGUGUGCCACCGCACCCAGAUGAGACUAACGUUUUAAUGUCAAAAAACCUAUAAAAUAUUUGGAAAAAAAGCGUUUAAUCUCUAAGAGCCGCUAUGCAAAAGCAGUGGAGACACAAAAAUCUGUAUGACACUGUUCCUGCCCUGAGACCGGGACAAGGUGGUUUUAUGCAUCAAAUACAGAAUGGCACGUUCUGCAUGUAGAUGUGUGUCUGUACGAAUCCAUAUACAUCCUCUUUACAAAAAGGUCCUACAAGCUUGCUAAUCAUUCUGUCUCAGAAGACUUUGUGAAACAUUAGGCUUUGGUUUAAAAGUCUAAGUCUCUGGGGGACACUUUCCCAAAAUUUGGGAGCCUCCCUGUGAGUUUGUUAGUGUGAUGGCAUGACCUAUUCUUCAAGGUCUAGCUUAAAUCCCUAAUUCAGGUGUUGCCUCCUCCACCUAGCCAGCCUCCAGAUCUCUCAUUUCUCCCAACCUCCGUUGUGUAUAUUUCUGUUGGAGUUACCUGAAGUGAUUUUGUGUAGUCAUCAACUUUUCAGACUUAGGGUUGAAAGUACUUGCUUGCAUCAUAUCACCUCCCCUUCUGCCCCCAGCAAGCAUUAAUGUGCAUGGGUCUACUAUCAACUCUCAUGGAUCUACUGCAGAUAAAUCUGGGAAGAUAAUUGUAUAGGGCACUCUACUGUGUCUUCAAAACUCUCUCUACUGACUCUCUUCAGAAUGUAAACAUGAUGGGUUGGGCCUAAAGAAAUUGAUGCACUGGAGAUGCUGGUCAUUGGGUGGGCAUUAUAGUGCAGAUGGGGUCCUGGCAGGAGGCAACACAGGUCAAAAUCUGAUCCAUUCAACCUCUCACUCAGUAAAUGUUUACUGAGUGUCUACUAUGUGCCAGGUUCUGUUCUAGGUGUUAGGGAUACAUCAGCAAACAAACCCAGCAGGUGGAUACUCUAAUGGUGGAAGCACAGGUAGAAGUACAGCUGGUGGGGUAGGGAGGGGCAUCUGCUCCCAUUCAGCACAAUCUCUAAAGUAGUUCUUUUUUUUAUAAUGUUUAGCUUAACAAGUAAAGAAAAUUUACAAACAUCCUAGAUUUUAAGAUUAUGAUGAGAAGACUUUAAGAAGCUAUAACUGAGACACACAUAUAAGGGGUGUGCAUAGUCGUAAACAUAGCUAGCGCCACAUAGAGGCUGUUCCUGAUAUUAGAAAGUUAAUAUGCCCAGUUGCUAGCAGUUCUUAAGGUAAUAGCUAAGUGAAUAUAGGAAGCAGGAUCUAGUCUUUUUAGGGAGAGAAUUUGUAAAUGUUGACCAGAGUUUUUGAUAUCUGGGGCAAAGUUCAAUACUCAGCUUUCUAGGGACCUGAAAUAAGAAAAUCUUGGCCAAGGUAAAAAUUUUACAUUCCUCAUUUCUUGUUUAACUGGAAAAGUUUAAAAACUAAACAAUUUUGUAUACACAAUCAGGAAAUCAAAGCUAUAAAAGAUUCUUGGCAUAACUGAUGAGAAUAUCCUACCUACCCCUGCCCUAAAGAUUGGAGGCUAAGCGUGGAAGGUAUUCCUUCAGCAAAUAGGCUUCAGCAGUUCACCUGGCAGACUAGACCAGGUUAGGAAUUGAGAUGCUCUUUCCUUCCGGUGCUCACUCCCAGCCAUGAACACUUUUCCUGAAUAUAGCAGCCUCCAUCUGGCCGCUUGCAUAUGCCAACGUCAGGUCUCCUGCACUCCUGCAUGCUCAUUCCUACUUGCUCAUUUUUGGGCAGCAGCAAAAGAUGCCUAGAAGGUGAAGUUCUUAAUCUGAAAUGUAACAUCGGGGUUUAGAAAACACAGGCCUGGACCAGGUGCGCUGGCUCACGCCUGUAAUCCCAGCACUUUGGAAGGCUGAGACAGGAGGAUCGCUUGAGCCCAGGAGUUCGAGGAUAUAGUGAGCUAUGAUUACACCACUGCUCUCCAGCCUGGGCAACAGAGUGAGACCUCUAAAAAAACAAAACAAAACAAAACAAACAAAAAACCCAGGAGGAUCACUUGAGCCCAGGAGUUUAAGGCUGUGGUGUGCUAUGAUCUCACCUGUGAAUAGCCACUGCAUUCCAGCCUGGGCAACAUAGUGAGACUCCUAUUGCUAAAAAGCAAAAAGAAGAAAAGGAAAAAUACAGACCCAGCGGAGUUCGGGGGUCAGGGAGGGUAAAAACAAGGAAGACUCUAGGUGUAUUUCACUUGCAAGGUUGGUACUCUUGUGUUAAGUGACAUACCUAGAGGGACAAUUGCAUUAGUACAGGAAGGGCGUUCAUUCUUACCUACUACAAUGCAUUCUUACAACAGCAGCUAAUUUUUUUUUUUUUUGAGAUGAAGUCUUGCUCUGUCACCCAGGCUGGAGUGCAGUGGCACAAUCUCGGCUGCAACCUCCACCUCCCAGGUUCAAGCAAUUCUCCCUGCCUCAACCUCCUGAGUAGCUGGGAUUAUAGGUGCUCGCCACCAAACUUGGCUAAUUUUUGUAUUUUUUAGUAGAGACAGGGUUUUGCCAUGUUGGCCACGCUGGUCUUGAACUCCUGACCUCAAGUGAUCCACCCACCUCAGCCUCCCAAAGUGCUGGGAUUACAGGUGUGAGCCAUCACGCCUGGCCACUAAUGAUCUUUUUAAAGCAAAAAUCAGAUUCCAUCACUCCUCGGCUUAAAACUCUUCAGUGAAUUCCCAUGGCACUUGGAAUAAACAUCCACACUCCUUACUGGGGAUUACAGAGUGACUCGGCCCCUGUUGCCUUUCUGACUUCAUCUCCCAAUCUCCUUGCUUAAUACUCUCCACCGACACCAUCCAAACAUCUGCUUUUCCACUCAAGACCUUUGCAUAGCUGACUCCUUUUCCUGGGAUGCUUUUACCCUCAUCUUCACUUGGCUGGCUCUGCCUCAUCAUUCAUUUCUCAGUUUACAUGUUACCUCCUCAAGGAGAACUUCUCUGACCACCCAUUCUAAGGAGCCACCCAGUCAUCCUUCAUUAGUUGGUCUUAUUUUAAUUGUCUUGAUAAUCCUUACCACUGUCUGAUAUGAUUUGGGUUGCUUAUUGUCUUUCAUUCCCCACUAGAAUAUAAUUUCCAGAAAGUUAAGAUCCUUUUCUGCCUUGCUCACAGCUCUAUCCCCACUGCCUAGAAUGGCUUGCGAAACCAGAUGUGACACUCAAUGAACAUUGUUGAAUGUUCAAAUGUUGUUGAGAUAAAUAUUGUCUCACUGUCCCCAAAAUGAUUUACAGGAAUGUAAUUAGCCAAUUAUGCUGAUUACUGAGAUGAACAAUGAAAAACAAUGACCGUUAUGCUUUUGGGACCCACUCUUCUCUGCAAGGCACUUAGAGCUAGAAGCAGAAAGCCUAAAGGCUAGAUGCCUUUAUUAAUUGAGCAAGUGUUUAUUGAAUAUCUUUCAAGCUCAUGGGUCUGUGUCUGGCAUGGGUCUACCACAGUGAAAAAGAAAAACUGGGC